rnacentral:rRNA from 1 species
GAUGAACGCUGGCGGCGUGCCUAACACAUGCAAGUCGAACGGAACUAUUUUGGAAACUCCUUCGGGAGCGGAAUCUUUAGUUUAGUGGCGGACGGGUGAGUAACGCGUGAGCAAUCUGCCUUUAAGAGGGGGAUAACAGUCGGAAACGGCUGCUAAUACCGCAUAAAGCAUUGAAUUCGCAUGUUUUCGAUGCCAAAGGAGCAAUCCGCUUUUAGAUGAGCUCGCGUCUGAUUAGCUAGUUGGCGGGGUAACGGCCCACCAAGGCGACGAUCAGUAGCCGGACUGAGAGGUUGAACGGCCACAUUGGGACUGAGACACGGCCCAGACUCCUACGGGAGGCAGCAGUGGGGAAUAUUGCGCAAUGGGGGAAACCCUGACGCAGCAACGCCGCGUGAUUGAAGAAGGCCUUCGGGUUGUAAAGAUCUUUAAUCAGGGACGAAAAAUGACGGUACCUGAAGAAUAAGCUCCGGCUAACUACGUGCCAGCAGCCGCCGUAACAC